rnacentral:lncRNA from 1 species
CUCUUAAGAUAUAUAAAAAGCAGCACAAUGACAGCUGACAACAUAAAAAUAAUUAGUAUUUAUCGAGUGCUCAUUCUGUACUAGGCGCUUUGCAUGAAUUAUUUCGUCUAAUCAUUAUAACAACCCUAUGAGCAAGGGUGCUAAACUCUUACUAUCCCCAUUUUUAUGAUUGAAAAAACUGAGGCUUAGAGAAAUGACUUGCUUAAGAGCACACUGCUGAUAAAUGAACUCCAGCUUGUUUGAUUUUAGUAGUCCAAGUAAUUUUGUAUGUUAUAUUGAGAAUGUGUAAUAAAAAGUAUCAUGCAGAUUAUGAGGGUUCUAGAGAAGAAAGGCAAGAGCAUUGUGAGCUGGAAUGGUCUAGAUGGCAUUUUGGAAGAUGGAGGUGAAAUUUGAAAACUCAUUGGGAUUUGGAGGUCUGUUUUUGUCAUUGGGUGUAUCAGGUGGUAGGACAGUGGGGGUGAAGUUUCUAAGUGGAAAAGGCAGCAAGCACAGAAGUGUGUGCAAGAGAAUACAUCUGGGGUGAGGGCCAGUAGAAAGGAAGCAUUGAAAUGAAGGUGUUCUCCUUAUUUUCCCCAAUUUUGAAGAUUUCAUUUCUGGUGGCAGAGAGUUUGCAAAUAGAGUCUUGAUAGUAAUAAAGAGUACAGGGGCUGGCCUGGUGAUGUAGUGCUUAAGUUCAGGCACUCUGCUUCACCGUCCCGGGGUUCACAGGUUCGGAUCCUGGGCAUAGACCUACACACCGCUCAUCAAGCCAUGCUGUGGCAGCGUCCCACAUACAAAAUAGAGAAAGAUUGGCACAGAUAUUAGCUUAGAGACAAUCUUCUUCAAGAAAAAGAGGAAGAUUGACAACGGAUGUUAGCUCAGGGCCAGUCUUCCUUACAAAAAGAGAAGGAGGUAUGAGAGAAGGUGAGACUGGUAAGUACAGAAUAGAAUUGAGGACAGAAAAGGAAGGCUUAAGGAUGAAAAAGGAAGAACAAGCUUAAAAGAGUAAGAAAUAAUUAAAGGAACUGGAGAAUCCUUGACUUUUUCAAAGACUCCACGUUACUAACAUGAGAGGAGGGCUAAUUGCACAAAUGAAAUCCUUGAGAGGACGAGAAGGCAUGGGCCACUUGCAAGUCAUGGAAGAUGGAAGGUUGGCCUUACCUAGGAGCAAGGGUACUUCUGUUAUAUCAAAGAGAAGGUAAAGAUUUUGAAUUACAUAUGCAGAGAAGUUGGUAAGAUUUUAGUUGACUUUUGCCUGACUUAUUAGGAUAGGGCAGCC